UACGGAGGGGGCGAGCGUUAUUCGGAAUUAUUGGGCGUAAAGGGCGCGUAGGCGGCUGAACAAGUCAAAGGUGAAAUCCCUCGGCUCAACUGAGGAACUGCCUUUGAAACUGUUCGGCUUGAGGCCGGGAGGGGGUAGCGGAAUUCCCAGUGUAGCGGUGAAAUGCGUAGAUAUUGGGAGGAACACCAGUGGCGAAGGCGGCUACCUGGACCGGUUCUGACGCUGAGGCGCGAAGGCGUGGGGAGCGAACAGG
rnacentral:rRNA from 1 species